rnacentral:misc_RNA from 1 species
GCAGACGACUUUAUUUUCAUAUAGUUAAAACGAGCGUUACAGCGACAAGUACCACAAUUACAUUAGGGAGUAGGGAUAGUCUUUCAAUCUAAGUUCAAAACACCAUUGAAACAAGCAUAGAUAGCAAGUUUAUACACAUCAAGGAAACUUGUUUUUGAGAUGAGGUCUCAAAAGUAGUCUUUCAGACGCGUCCAGUGUGCAACUGAACUGUUUGGCUUGGAACAACUUGCAGCACUCCAGGUAACUUUGAGAGCUCAGAAACCUGCUCAGCAGUCAGCUUUGCUGAGAAUCCACUAGCUGCGUGCUUGUAACUGUAUAACAAUGCCUCUUUUGCAGCCUCCUCACUGCCAAGAACAGAAGUUAGGGUUUUGAUAUGAUACUCUUCAGGUUCUUGAUCUUUAGGUUGCUCAGUAUACACUAUAUGAACUUUAGACUCAUUAGAGGGUUGUGAUGAAGCUUGUGAAUCUGCCAUUGUUGUGAUAAAGGCUGUAAACAAGAAGAAAAACAAGAGAAUUGAAGAAAGUAUUUGAUCUUUCUUCAUCAUUUUUAGGCACUAUUUAUAAAAACAAAAGGAUAUUUUUGGGCUUUUUCUCCUUAAUGACCAAGUUU